UCGAUUCAUCACAACAUACCAUUGAUUAAUACAUUCAUUCAAGCAUAUAUAGAAGAUUCAGUAGUUUCCUACACUCAAGUCAGCUACAACCAAUAAGUAAAUAAGUUGACAUACAAGACAUGGUCUAUUACAAAAUAUGAUGGCUAGGCUCCUAAGAGACCCAAUUGUUCGAUCACUUGACUACUACAAAAUAUUAAGGAAGAGACCAAAUCUCUUCGAUCACCAAGCUGACAUCAACUUCCAUAUCCACAAAAUGUGUCAAACAUGUUAUGAACAAAACCGACCAUCAAAACAUCUUGUAUCAACUUCUGGAUGUGCCAUUUCGCUGCAAAAGAACUUACAUGUUUGAGCAAUAUUAGAAAUGAGAAUUUGUUCAAAUGUGUGAGUUGCCUUUGAUCCCAAAGAUCUAAAAAUAGAAUAUGUACUACAAAUAAUUUGGUUACAGAAGAUAUCCUUAACAAAGCACCAACAAAAGUCAGGCUAGCAACUAGUUUAUCACAUGCCUUAAUAGAAAAAUUAUGCACUCAUUGACUCGGAUCUGUUCCAAGGCAUAACAAAUAAGGUUCUUAUUGUAACUUUACAGAUUUGUAUUUGAAGGUCCUCAACCAUCAAAUAAUCAGAUAUGCACUUGUACAUGUAGCAGAAGUCAUAUGUGUGAUAGCAGGAAAUGCACUUGGUAAAAAAAGCCAUUUCGAAGACCAUAUGGUUGCACAUGCAUCUUGGUUCAAUAGAUGCACUCUAGUUAGGCAUUGUCUAGUGUGAGUAAUUGCUAGGAUGAUCUUCACACAAUUUAUAAUAAAAUCAUGCCAGCCAUUUACUAUGUGCUCUGAGUUCAUCUAUAGUCCAUUUAAUUACUACAGGCGCUCAGUUCAUCUACAAGCCACUAAACUAUUCACAGACCUAGCAUAAUUAUUGAUAUCCAUUAGUAAGCAAAUCUGAUUUAGAAUUGAAACUCGAAUGAUUCUGUUUAGAAAAUGUAAGAAAGUGACCUAGCAAGUAAAUGGUGUUACAUCUUCCAUCACGACAAGAAAGAACAAAUGGUUAGAGCAUGCACGCUUGUAAUAAAGGACAUCCAGCCAUCAGUUGAGCUAAGAAGUUGCCCUUGAAAUGUUACACACAGCAAAAUCAUGCAUAACAUGGUUAUAUAGACAUUUUUCACCAUUUCAGGGAGGACAACAUAGUUCACGCCGGAAUAAAGAAAAGAAUGGAUAGAAAGCUAGUACCUUGUUCAUUACUUGCUUUUACCCUCAAGGAACUUAUAUAAGUUGAUAGUGUGCCAUCAUGAUUUAUCACAUCUUAGUGCCUGUAUAUAACCAAUGAGUCUUUUUAGUUUCAGAUGUCUAUACUACAAUUAUUCUAAAUUUGUAACAUCAGUAAAGAUUGAACUAUAAGAAAUUGCCCAAUACUAAGAACACCUUCAAAAUUGAUUACUUUACAAUAUUACAAUGCAAAUGCAUUAGAGAUCAGAUGUAACCUACACUUCAAAUGUCAUUAAGAAACACAUGGUACUAAGACAACCUAGCAUAGCAAGUUCAUGCAGAGAGAUUUGUGCAAAUGGUAUUCAGACAGAUAGGUUAUACAAAAGAAGUCACAUAGUGAACAAGGUAAAAUAGGUCGGCAACUUGG
rnacentral:lncRNA from 1 species